GUUGUAUGGUUAAGUGACUAAGCGUACACGGUGGAUGCCUUGGCAGUCAGAGGCGAUGAAAGACGUAGUAACUUGCGAUAAGCCCAGAUUAGGUAGUAACAACCAUUUGAGUCUGGGAUUUCUGAAUGGGGAAACCCACGUGCAUAAGCACGUAUCCUUACCUGAAUACAUAGGGUAAGGAGGCGAACCGGGGGAACUGAAACAUCUAAGUACCCCGAGGAAAAGAAAUCAACCGAGAUUCCGAAAGUAGCGGCGAGCGAAAUUGGACUAGCCCUUAAGCUUUACACGCGUUAGACGAACGGUCUGGAAAGUCCGACGAUACAGGGUGAUAGUCCCGUAGUUGACGACGUGUGUUCAGUGAAAUCGAGUAGGGCGGGACACGUGAUAUCCUGUCUGAAUAUGGGGGGACCAUCCUCCAAGGCUAAAUACUACUGACUGACCGAUAGUGAACCAGUACCGUGAGGGAAAGGCGAAAAGAACCCCUGUGAGGGGAGUGAAAUAGAACCUGAAACCGUGUACGUACAAGCAGUAGGAGCAGGCUUUGUCCUGUGACUGCGUACCUUUUGUAUAAUGGGUCAGCGACUUAUAUUCAGUGGCAAGGUUAACCAUCUAGGGGAGCCGUAGGGAAACCGAGUCUUAACUGGGCGUUCAGUCUCUGGAUAUAGACCCGAAACCAGGUGAUCUAGCCAUGGGCAGGUUGAAGGUUGAGUAACAUCAACUGGAGGACCGAACCGACUAAUGUUGAAAAAUUAGCGGAUGACUUGUGGCUAGGGGUGAAAGGCCAAUCAAACCUGGAGAUAGCUGGUUCUCCCCGAAAGCUAUUUAGGUAGCGCCUCGGACGAAUACUACUGGGGGUAGAGCACUGUUAAGGCUAGGGGGUCAUCCCGACUUACCAACCCUUUGCAAACUCCGAAUACCAGUAAGUACUAUCCGGGAGACACACGGCGGGUGCUAACGUCCGUCGUGGAGAGGGAAACAACCCAGACCGCCAGCUAAGGUCCCAAAUUACUACUAAGUGGGAAACGAUGUGGGAAGGCUCAGACAGCCAGGAUGUUGGCUUAGAAGCAGCCAUCAUUUAAAGAAAGCGUAAUAGCUCACUGGUCGAGUCGGCCUGCGCGGAAGAUGUAACGGGGCUAAGUAGUAAACCGAAGCUGCGGCAAUAUACUUUUGUAUAUUGGGUAGGGGAGCGUUCUGUAAGCGGUUGAAGGUGUGUGGUAACGCAUGCUGGACGUAUCAGAAGUGCGAAUGCUGACAUGAGUAACGAUAAAGGGGGUGAAAAACCUCCUCGCCGGAAGACCAAGGGUUCCUGUCCAACGUUAAUCGGGGCAGGGUAAGUCGACCCCUAAGGCGAGGCCGAAAGGCGUAGUCGAUGGGAAACGGGUUAAUAUUCCCGUACUUCUUACAAUUGCGAUGGGGGGACGGAGAAGGCUAGGUGGGCCUGGCGACGGUUGUCCAGGUUCAAGUGCGUAGGCUUAAGA
rnacentral:rRNA from 1 species